rnacentral:rRNA from 1 species
ACGGGUGAGUAAUGCCUAGGAAUCUGCCUGGUAGUGGGGGAUAACGUUCGGAAACGAACGCUAAUACCGCAUACGUCCUACGGGAGAAAGCAGGGGACCUUCGGGCCUUGCGCUAUCAGAUGAGCCUAGGUCGGAUUAGCUAGUUGGUGAGGUAAUGGCUCACCAAGGCGACGAUCCGUAACUGGUCUGAGAGGAUGAUCAGUCACACUGGAACUGAGACACGGUCCAGACUCCUACGGGAGGCAGCAGUGGGGAAUAUUGGACAAUGGGCGAAAGCCUGAUCCAGCCAUGCCGCGUGUGUGAAGAAGGUCUUCGGAUUGUAAAGCACUUUAAGUUGGGAGGAAGGGCAAUUACCUAAUACGUGAUCGUUUUGACGUUACCGACAGAAUAAGCACCGGCUAACUCUGUGCCAGCAGCCGCGGUAAUACAGAGGGUGCAAGCGUUAAUCGGAAUUACUGGGCGUAAAGCGCGCGUAGGUGGUUUGUUAAGUUGGAUGUGAAAUCCCCGGGCUCAACCUGGGAACUGCAUUCAAAACUGACUGACUAGAGUAUGGUAGAGGGUGGUGGAAUUUCCUGUGUAGCGGUGAAA